GCCAAACUAGAAAGUGACUCUAGGUCUAAGACUGGGGAUGUGGCAAAUGGAAGACAGCAUGGGUUUGAGGAGAAAUGGUAAAUUUAUGGGUCUCCACUUAGCAUGCAGUAAAACUCUUAACAGUGGGGAAAGCAGCGGCCUGGAAGGAGAAAGUUCUUGUUGCCUGUCUGUUAUUAACCAGCCUUAUAACCCUUGGUCAAGUGUUGGGUUGAACAAAACAUUUUAAAAUUGACCUCAAAAUUAGGAAGUGUGGCCUGGAUUUCUGACAUGUGACUCUGGGGUUUCAGGCAGCCCCAAUUGUUGCAGGAUUUUUUUUUUUUUUUUUACCUCAAAACCCAGGAUUCGUUGUCUCGCUGCUUUGAAGAAUGAAGAGGUGGACACGAAGUGAGCAGCAGGCAAAAGUUUAUUGGAGUAUAAGAUCAGAAAGGAAGAAUAGUAUGAAAGAAAGCUCUCCUUACAGAGAGGGAGCAUUCCAAAGUGAGUGCCCCCGGAAAAUAGGCAAGGACCUUUGUUAUAGAAGAUUCUGGUCACCCUCUCUUUCUCUUCCCCCUUGUUCCUUCUCAGGUUCUACCCUAACUGGCUUGAUAGCUCUACGAGCUGGGUUAUCCAUUGCUGAUUGGCUCAUUUCCAUUGUAUGUCUAUGACCAUACCAUUCCUUGCGGGUCAUAUGUUUUAUGGUACUGAUUUUUAGUUAGGUCUUUGAUCUAAUUCCUGAGGAAAUCCUGAGGGGGAGUAGCUGGUGUCUGUUACAUUCCAAAGAGGAACCUUAUGCCUGAGGGAGUUUGCUAAGGUCAGACACUCCCAGCAUUGUUCCAAAAUAGGUGAUUUUCCUCACCCUGAGACCUCAGGUCCUGACCUUUCCCUCUCUGCCUAUUGUAUCCCAUCUUUUCCCAAUCAUACAACUAGCCUAGCAGCAACAUUUUUCGGGUCAGAAUAAUGGAGCUUGUUAACCCAACACAGGAGCCAGCAGGCAUAGCCAGGCACUUUCUGUCUGGAGAUCGUUCCCUCAAAUGAAAGGGCCAUAUUCAGGCGUGAAAGGCUGGGAGAUCAACAACCUCUCUCCGGUCCUAUGUGCAGUGUCCCCUUCCGCAAAAGAGGGACCAUGAGGACCACCCUACUCUGAACGCUCGCCCGCGGCCCAACACAUGCUAGGGACAAGUGCAGCUGCUUCUACGGAAACCACGUGCCUGGGCAGGAGUCCCAUUCAAGAUUCUACAAUGGAUGCGGCCAAAACGCAGGUGGGAUCCUUUCCCGGGCUGCGCGCAGCAGCCCCGCCCGUGAUUAGCUACGGUGCAGACGACCCGCACUACUGCGCCUGCGCCGCGCCGAACUAGGCUGCGCCGGGGAUGCUGCGACUGGCGGGAACGGAAGACGCUCGUAAUCGGGGCGGUAGACGAGCGACGCUGAAGGCGGAAGUGGGAGAAAAAGACGCAGAGGACCUUGCUGGUGACUCGCUGGCGGAAAUGAUUGGAGGGGCACAUCUGAAAGAGAAAAGGCAGAAACCACUUUAGAUCUGUUGGCAGAUAUGAACAGAUUCACCCCCUAUAUGAAUACGAAGAGAAGAUCCCAUUGCAGCCUGUAGAAGCUGGAAAAGGCAAGAAAAUAAAUUCUCCUCUAGAGCCUCUAGAGGGAAUGCAUCUGUGUCGACACCUUGAUUUUAGUUUCGUAGACUUGUAUAGGACCUCUAACCUAUAUAACUGUAAGAUAAUAAAUUUAUGUCAUUUUAA